GACGAACGCUGGCGGCGUGCUUAACACAUGCAAGUCGAACGGAAAGGCCCUGCUUUUGUGGGGUGCUCGAGUGGCGAGCGGGUGAGUAACACGUGAGUAACCUGCCCUUGACUUUGGGAUAACUUCAGGAAACUGGGGCUAAUACCGGAUAGGAGCUCCUGCUGCAUGGUGGGGGUUGGAAAGUUUCGGCGGUUGGGGAUGGACUCGCGGCUUAUCAGCUUGUUGGUGGGGUAGUGGCUUACCAAGGCUUUGACGGGUAGCCGGCCUGAGAGGGUGACCGGCCACAUUGGGACUGUGAUACGGCCCAGACUCCUACGGGAGGCAGCAGUGGGGAAUAUUGCACAAUGGGCGGAAGCCUGAUGCAGCAACGCCGCGUGCGGGAUGACGGCCUUCGGGUUGUAAACCGCUUUCGCCUGUGACGAAGCGUGAGUGACGGUAAUGGGUAAAGAAGCACCGGCUAACUACGUG
rnacentral:rRNA from 1 species